CCCGCUGAACUUAAGCAUAUCAGUAAGCGGAGGAAAAGAAACUAACAAGGAUUCCCCUAGUAACGGCGAGCGAAGCGGGAAGAGUUCAAAUUUAAAAUCUGGGUGGGUCUCCCACUCCGAAUUGUAAUUUAAAGAGGCGCUAUCUGGGCCUGGCCUGGUGCUCAAGUCCCUUGGAAUAGGGCGUCACAGAGGGUGAGAACCCCGUCUGGGCACUGGUGCUGGGUCCUCCAUGAGGCGCUUUCUACGAGUCGAGUUGUUUGGGAAUGCAGCUCAAAAUGGGUGGUAAACUCCAUCUAAAGCUAAAUAUUGGCGAGAGACCGAUAGCGAACAAGUACCGUGAGGGAAAGAUGAAAAGCACUUUGGAAAGAGAGUUAAACAGUACGUGAAAUUGUUGAAAGGGAAACGUUUGAAGUCAGUCGCGUCGGCCGAGACUCAACCUUGCUUCUGCUCGGUGCACUUCUCGGUUGACGGGUCAGCAUCAAUUUUGACCGCCGGAUAAAGGUCGGGGGAAUGUGGCAUCCUUCGGGAUGUGUUAUAGACCUCGAUUCGGAUACGGCGAUUGGGAUUGAGGAACUCGGCGCUUUGCGUCCAGGAUGCUGGCAUAAUGGCUUUAAGCGACCCGUCUUGAAACACGG
rnacentral:rRNA from 1 species